AGAAGCUUUAGGAAGCUUCUCACUCGUGUAUAUAUACCUUUCUUUAUCAGCUUUGCUAAUUAAUGAAAACACAAUUUCUCACUCUAAAAUUCUCUCUGCUUCUAACUCUAAAUCUCUUCUUCAUCCUCUCUUAGCUUACUUUCAACAUGGUAUCAAUCGCAAGGUUUUUAGCAUAAUCUCGAUCCUCUUUUUCUCCUCAAACCAAUAGAUCUCGAUUUAGCUCCUUUCAAUGGAGAAUUCAACUUCCACUGCUUCUUUCCACAUUUUCCCUAAAUUCUCAAACUCGAUCGGUCCAAUUAUGCUUUCUGGAGAGCACAGGCGCUCUCUGCUAUUCGUGCACACAGUUUCCACAAUUUCAUCUCUCCCACGGCGAUGUCACCACCACCAUAUCUGCCAGCUCCUUCAAAUGGCGGUCAACUACCAAUUCCAACAUCUGCACAAUGGAUUCGCCGUGAUCAGUAUCUUCUCAGCUGGAUGCUGUUGUCGGUUACUGAGUCCAUGCUUGGUCACAUUGUUCGCUGCACCUCCUCUCGUGAGCUCUGGUCAGUCCUUGAACGACUGUUUAUGUCUCAGUCUAAAGCACACAUCAUGCAACUUCGUCUUCUCCUUCAAACCACAAAAAAGACUCUCUCUUUGUUGAGGAAUUUUUCCUCAAAAUGCGAGGAUAUGCGGAUCAAUUGUCAGCCGUUGGACAAAUUAUCAACGAUGAUGAGUUAGUCAUGUAUAUCCUCUCUGGAUUUGGCUCUGAAUAUGAAGCUUUGGUGGUUAAUAUCAUGCAUCGGAGUGAUACACAAAAUCUGCAAGAGAUUCAGUAUGCAUUUCAAGCCUAUGAGCUGCAUCUUCAGCGGCAGCACUCGUCUCUCUUUGAUCCUGCUGCACAUGUAGCUUACCGCGGCAAUGGCAGAUGAACCUUUCUUGUUCGAAGCUCUAACAUUGGAAAUCGUGGAGGAUUCAAUCGCUCAGCACCUCAAUCUAAAGGAAUCAUCUGCCAACUUUGUGGCAAAGCUGGUCAUGUUGCCAUUAAAUGUUUCAAACGCUUCGAUGUUCAUUUUACUGAUAACACUAUCACCACUGCCACUCCACAGGCUUUUAUCUCGGAUACUUCUCAUACUACUGAUGUUGCUCUCUCUCAGAACUCUCCUAAUGCAGAUCCAGCAUGGUAUGCGGAUAGUGGAGCUACCACACAUAUCACAAAUGAUCUUCAGAAUUUGGCUGUGCAUGAUGACUACUGUGGCACUGAUUCUCUAAUGGUUGGAAAUGGACCUCAAGACACACAAGAUUCUGUUGAAGGGAACUCUUUCUAAAGGCCUUUAUCAACUGGAUCUCUCCUCAUUCUAUCGCGAGUCUACACCAUCUAAGAAUAGUUCUUCCAGUUUUACUUGUAAUAAAAGGUCUGUUCCUACAUCUAGCUCAACUGCUGCUAUAGUUAUCUCAAAAUCUGUUGGUAUAUGUACUGCUCUAGAUGUUCUUCAUAGAUCUCUUGGUCACCCUGGACUAAAUGUAAUAGCCAAAAUCUAUAAACAUCUCAAUAUUCCUUAUAAAUCUAGUGAACUAAGUUUCUGUGAGGCA